GGUGAACCGGUCGGGUGUGGGU
rnacentral:siRNA from 1 species